rnacentral:rRNA from 1 species
UACGUAGGUGGCAAGCGUUACUCGGAAUUACUAGGCGUAAAGCGCAGGUAGGCGGUGCGGUAAGUCCGUAAUGAAAUCUCCCGGCUUAACUGGGAGGGGUUUAGGGAUACUGCCGUGCUCGAGUGUGGGAGAGGUCACUGGAAUUCCUGGUGUAGCGGUGAAAUGCGUAGAGAUCAGGAGGAACACCUAUGGCGAAAGCAGGUGACUGGCCCAAUACCGACGCUGAGCUGCGAAAGCUAGGGGAGCAAACAGG